UACGUAGGGUGCAAGCGUUGUCCGGAAUUAUUGGGCGUAAAGAGCUCGUAGGCGGCCUGUCACGUCGGCUGUGAAAACCCGGGGCUCAACCCCGGGCCUGCAGUCGAUACGGGCAGGCUAGAGUCCGGCAGGGGAGACUGGAACUCCUGGUGUAGCGGUGAAAUGCGCAGAUAUCAGGAGGAACACCGGUGGCGAAGGCGGGUCUCUGGGCCGGAACUGACGCUGAGGAGCGAAAGCGUGGGGAGCGAACAGG
rnacentral:rRNA from 1 species